UCCCUGGUGGCCUAGCGGUUAGGGCCUCAGCGUUGUCACUGCUGUGGCGAGGGUUGGAUCCCUGCCCUGAGAA
rnacentral:tRNA from 1 species